AAUGCUGCUGGUUCAUCAAAAGUUCAAAACAGUGUUGCUGGCUAUUUGGAGCAUAGGAAGAGGUGAAGAAGAACUAACAUUGAGGACUUGUUAGUGGGCAGUGUAAGCACAGUGUUCACAGAAGAAGGAAUUUUCAGAUUGCCCUAAGAAGCAGAUGUGAUAAUAAGGAUGAUGUCAAAUUGCUGUAUUGCCGGUUCCUUUUCUCAGAG
rnacentral:lncRNA from 1 species